rnacentral:rRNA from 1 species
CUGAAUGAUAGUCGGGCUGAAGACUCUACUUGACUAGCUGAGAGGAGGUGCAUGGCCGUCGUCAGUCGUACUGUGAAGCAUCCUGUUAAGUCAGGCAACGAGCGAGACCCACGCCAACAGUUGCCAGCUCGUCCUCCGGGAUGGUGGGGACACUGUUGGGACCGCCUCUGCUAAAGAGGAGGAAGGAAUGGGCAACGGUAGGUCAGCAUGCCCCGAAUUAUCUGGGCUACACGCGGGCUACAAUGGGUGGGACAAUGGGUAUCGACACCGAAAGGUGAAGGCAAUCUCCUAAACCCAUCCGUAGUUCGGAUUGUGGGCUGCAACUCGCCCACAUGAAGCUGGAAUCUGUAGUAAUCGUGUCUCAAAAUGGCACGGUGAAUAUGUCCCUGCUCCUU